GCCCGCACGGGAAGAUGCAUUAUCUCGUGCGGGCGUCUUAACCCAACCGCACAGGAUAAUGCGAUUAUCCCGUGCGGUU
rnacentral:pre_miRNA from 19 species